rnacentral:rRNA from 1 species
UACGUAGGCAGCAAGCGUUGUUCGGAGUUACUGGGCGUAAAGGGUGUGUAGGCGGUUCUUUAAGUUUGGUGUGAAAUCUCCCGGCUCAACUGGGAGGGUGCGCCGAAUACUGAGGGACUAGAGUACGGGAGAGGAAAGUGGAAUUCCUGGUGUAGCGGUGAAAUACGUAGAGAUUGGGAAGAACACCAGUGGCGAAGGCGGCUAUCUGGACGGUUUCUGACACUAAGACUCGAAAGCGUGGGGAGCAAACAGG